ACUAAGGUUCGAUUCGAGCGCAGCGAGAAAGCGUUGCCGUAGGCAACGACCCGAAGGGCGAAGCGCGCAGCGCUGAGUAAUCCUUCCCCCACCACCA
rnacentral:sRNA from 1 species